GAUGAACGCUAGCGACAGGCUUAACACAUGCAAGUCGAGGGGCAUCAUGAGGUAGCAAUACCUUGAUGGCGACCGGCGCACGGGUGAGUAACGCGUAUGCAACCUGCCCGAUACCGGGGUAUAGCCCAUGGAAACGUGGAUUAACACCCCAUAGUACUUUUAUCCUGCCUGGGAUGGGAGUUAAAUGUUCAAGGUAUCGGAUGGGCAUGCGUCCUAUUAGUUAGUUGGCGGGGUGACAGCCCACCAAGACGAUGAUAGGUAGGGGUUCUGAGAGGAAGGUCCCCCACAUUGGAACUGAGACACGGUCCAAACUCCUACGGGAGCCAGCAGUGAGGAAUAUUGGUCAAUGGACGUAAGUCUGAACCAGCCAAGUCGCGUGAGGGAAGACUGCCCUAUGGGUUGUAAACCUCUUUUAUAAGGGAAGAAUAAGUCCUACGUGUAGAAUGAUGCCUGUACCUUAUGAAUAAGCAUCGGCUAACUCCGUGCCAGCCGCCGCGGUAA
rnacentral:rRNA from 1 species